rnacentral:rRNA from 1 species
UCGACGGAGUACCCCUGAAGGAGUUUUCGGACAACUGAUGGGACUACUUAGUGGCGGACGGGUGAGUAACGCGUGAGUAACCUGCCUUGGAGUGGGGAAUAACAGCUGGAAACAGCUGCUAAUACCGCAUAAUAUGUCUGUGUCGCAUGGCACUGGACAUCAAAGAUUUAUCGCUCUGAGAUGGACUCGCGUCUGAUUAGCUAGUUGGCGGGGUAACGGCCCACCAAGGCGACGAUCAGUAGCCGGACUGAGAGGUUGGCCGGCCACAUUGGGACUGAGACACGGCCCAGACUCCUACGGGAGGCAGCAGUGGGGAAUAUUGGGCAAUGGGCGCAAGCCUGACCCAGCAACGCCGCGUGAAGGAAGAAGGCUUUCGGGUUGUAAACUUCUUUUCUCAGGGACGAAGCAAGUGACGGUACCUGAGGAAUAAGCCACGGCUAACUACGUGCCAGCAGCCGCGGUAAUACGUAGGUGGCAAGCGUUAUCCGGAUUUACUGGGUGUAAAGGGCGUGUAGGCGGGACUGCAAGUCAGAUGUGAAAACCACGGGCUCAACCUGUGGCCUGCAUUUGAAACUGUAGUUCUUGGGUACUGGAGAGGCAGACGGAAUUCCUAGUGUAGCGGUGAAAUGCGUAGAUAUUAGGAGGAACACCAGUGGCGAAGGCAGUCUGCUGGACAGCAACUGACGCUGAGGCGCGAAAGCGUGGGGAGCAAACAGGAUUAGAUACCCUGGUAGUCCACGCUGUAAACGAUGGAUACUAGGUGUGGGGGGACUGACCCCCUCCGUGCCGCAGUUAACACAAUAAGUAUCCCACCUGGGGAGUACGAUCGCAAGGUUGAAACUCAAAGGAAUUGACGGGGGCCCGCACAAGCGGUGGAGUAUGUGGUUUAAUUC